rnacentral:rRNA from 1 species
AUGGAUUACCUUUCUUCUAUUGGUGUUCGAAGUCAUCGAGAAGUCAAGCGUGUGCAUUAUGAGACAUUUCAUGAGUGGUUUAAAUUGCACGUAAGUGGGCAUGUGGCAGAAAUGGGAGAUAAAGCACCUCAUGAGAUAAAAAAAUUAGCUAAAGAGCCAAACUUGGUUGCUAUGAAGUAUAGUAGCUACACUAUAAAUGGGUUAGACUUUCAUACACAAUCAUAUGAUGAGGGCCGCUCAUUUCAGAGUAGUGGAGUAGCUCUUGUUACACAAACCACAUCCUUUGCAAAAGGAAAAGGUGACAAUAUUAAUGUAAGAAACAAGACCUAUUAUGGAAUUAUAAAGGAAAUUCUUGAGUUGAAUUAUCGACAUGAAGGGAAAGUAGUGUUGUUCAAAUGUGACUGGGUUGAUAAUCGUGUAGAAGAUGAAUGGGUGCAAACUGAUUAGUUUGGAAUCACUUCUGUGAAUUUCAAGCAUUUGUUCAAUACCGACGAGCCCUUCAUAUUAGCCACACAAGCAACUCAAGUUUACUAUGUUGAAGAUCCCAUUGAUGCUGAGUGGUCUACUGUUGUUGUUCCAUCAUUCCAUCAUUAUAUGACACAGAAGAAUCUAAAGAUGACAACAGUAAUGUUUUACGUGUGGCGUUGCCUGAUCCAUGUACUGCUAUACGUGUGA